CCUCUGUAUCUGGGUUGCUCCUUGGAUGACGUCACCCACUUUGAAGGUGAAGGUGCCUGAGAAGACGGAAGAGGGGAAUUUCCUGGACCUGGAGUUACAGGUGGUUGCUGAGAACCCAAAUCAGGUCACGUGCAAGAGCAGCACAACAUCUCUCCAGCCCUUGUGUCUGUGGAAUGCAGGAGUUAUCGGUCCUGGAACUUGCAUUGGAGACUGUGUGAGCCACUAUGUGACUGUGG